rnacentral:rRNA from 1 species
UAGGGAAUCUCCCGCAAUGGGCGAAAGCCUGACGGAGCAAUGCCGCGUGAACGAUGAAGGCCUUCGGGUCGUAAAGUUCUGUUGUGGGGGAAGAAAGAGCGAUGCGCUAAUAUCGCAUCGUUUUUGACGGUACUCCACGAGGAAGCCCCGGCUAAUUACGUGCCAGCAGCCGCGGUAAUACGUAAGGGGCAAGCGUUGUCCGGAAUCACUGGGCGUAAAGCGCACGUAGGCGGCGCAGCAAGUCAGGGGUGCAAGCUCUAGGCCUAACCUAGAAAUUGCCUCUGAAACUACUGUGCUUGAGGGUCAGAGGGGAAACUGGAAUUCACGGUGUAGCGGUGAAAUGCGUAGAUAUCGUGGAGAACACCCGUGGCGAAGGCGGGUUUCUGGCUGACAACUGACGCUGAGGUGCGAAAGCUAGGGGAGCGAACGG